CAGUCGCCGCGGGAAUACGGAGGGGGUUAGCGUUGUCCGGAAUUACUGGGCGUAAAGCGCACGUAGGCGGCUUGGUAAGUUAGAGGUGAAAGCCCAGGGCUCAACCCUGGAAUUGCCUUUAAGACUGCCGAGCUAGUAGGUGAGAGAGGUGAGUGGAAUUCCGAGUGUAGAGGUGAAAUUCGUAGAUAUUCGGAAGAACACCAGUGGCGAAGGCGGCUCACUGGCUCAUUCUAGACGCUGAGGUGCGAAAGCGUGGGGAGCAAAUAGGAUUAGAUACCCCCGUAGUCCCUGUCUCUUAUAC
rnacentral:rRNA from 1 species